rnacentral:rRNA from 1 species
GACGAACGCUGGCGGCGUGCUUAACACAUGCCAGUCGAACGGAAAGGCCCUGCUUGCAGGGUACUCGAGUGGCGAACGGGUGAGUAACACGUGGGUGAUCUGCCCUGCACUUCGGGAUAAGCCUGGGAAACUGGGUCUAAUACCGGAUAGGAGCCAUUUUUAGUGUGAUGGUUGGAAAGUUUUUUCGGUGUAGGAUGAGCUCGCGGCCUAUCAGCUUGUUGGUGGGGUAAUGGCCUACCAAGGCGGCGACGGGUAGCCGGCCUGAGAGGGUGGACGGCCACAUUGGGACUGAGAUACGGCCCAGACUCCUACGGGAGGCAGCAGUGGGGAAUAUUGCACAAUGGGCGCAAGCCUGAUGCAGCGACGCCGCGUGGGGGAUGACGGCCUUCGGGUUGGAAACUCCUUUCGCUAGGGACGAAGCUUUUUGUGACGGUACCUAGAUAAGAAGCACCGGCUAACUACGUG